GUAUAUUUCCUUCAUCACAAUCCAGUUAAUUAUGGUAGAUGUUUGGAAAAAUAUCAGCAACAAUAGACUUGUUUAGUGUUUUUCUAACGUUAAUUUCUGUGUUAGACCAUUAUAAAUUUAUAUCAUUUGUGCAUUGGUGUAGUUUGAAUCGCAAGCUGCGGUUGCUGACCAGUUGCAUGUCAUCGCUUGAAGGUCUAGCUACUGAACCCGACCUCGUAGACUAACUAUUUCUUCAUCCGAUUGGAUUUUCCGCCUCAGUCCGAUAUCGUAGAAGGACCAUUCUUACAACAAAUUGGAUUUUCCGCUUGAGUCCGAUAUCGUAGAAGAACCAUUCUUACAGUAAAUUGGAUUUUCCGCCUGUGUCCAAUACUGUAGGAGAACCAAUCUCACAGCAAAUAAUAAGGAUUUUCCGCCUGAGUCCGAUAUCGUAGAAAAACCAUUCUUACAGCAAAUUGGAUUUUCCACCUGAGUCCGAUAUCGUAGAAGAAUCAUUCUUUCAGCAGAUGGAAUUUUCCGCCUGAGUCUGAUAUCGUAGAAGAACCAUUUUUACAGCAAAUUGACUAAUUUUUGAUGGUUUUUGGGAUUUUCCGCCUGAGUCCGAUAUCGUAGAAGAACCAUUUUUGCAUCAGAUUGGAUUUUGCACCUGAGUCUGACAUCGUAGAAGAACCAUUCUUACAUCAGAUUGACUAAUUUUUGAUGGUUUUACGGAUUUUGCACCUGAGUCUGACAACGUAGAAGGACUAUUUUUGCAUCAGAUUGGAUUUUGCACCUGAGUCUGACAUCGUAGAAGGACCAUUUUUGCAUCAGAUUGGAUUUUGCACCUGAGGCUUACAUUGUAGAAGGACCAUUUUUGCAUCAGAUUGGAUUUUGCACCCGAGUCUGACAUCGUAGAAGGACCAUUUUUGCAUCAGAUUGGAUUUUGCACCUGACUCUGAUAUCGUAGAAGGACCAUUUUUGCAUCAGAUUGGAUUUUGCACCUGACUCUAACAUCGUAAAAGGACCAUUCUUGCAUCAGAUUGUUAGUAAUAAAUUUCAUUAUCUUAAAUAAA